UCAAGCUACUAAGAGCGUAGAGUGAAUGCCUUGGCACCAAGAGCCGAUGAAGGACGUGAUAAGCUGCGAAAAGCUGCGGUGAGCUGCAAAUAAGCUAUGAUCCGCAGAUGUCCGAAUGGGGAAACCUAGCUAAGAUAACUUAGUUACUGCGUAGUGAAUACAUAGCUACGUAGGGGGAACGUGGGGAAGUGAAACAUCUAAGUACCCACAGGAAGAGAAAGAAAAAUCGAUUUCCUAAGUAGCGGCGAGCGAACGGGAAAGAGGCUAAACUAUUGUACCUGGUACAAUAGGGUUAUGGACUGCAUAACUGUAUUUUGAAGGAUAGCUGAGUGGUACUGGAAAGACCAACUAUAAAGGGUGAUAGUCCCGUAAGCGAAAUCUUGAUAAAGCAAGCAGUAUCCAAAGUACCACGAGACACGUGAAACCUUGUGGGAAGUCGGGAGGACCACCUCCCAAGCCUAAAUACUACUUGGUGACCGAUAGCGUAAUAGUACUGUGAAGGAAAGGUGAAAAGAACCCCGGGAGGGGAGUGAAAAAGAACCUGAAACUCUAUGUUUACAAGCAGUGGAAGCACCAUAUGAUGUGCGACCGCGUACUUUUUGUAGAACGGUCCGGCGAGUUAUUUAUAGUGGCAAGGUUAAUUCCUAAGAAGGAAGAAGCCGAAGGGAAACCAAGUCUUAAUAGGGCGAAUGUAGUCACUGUGAAUAGACCCGAAACCGGGUGACCUACCCAUGGUCAGGAUGAAGUUACCGUAAAAGGUAAUGGAGGUCCGAACCCACGUAUGUUGAAAAAUGCGGGGAUGAACUGUGGGUAGCGGUGAAAUUCCAAUCGAACCCGGAGAUAGCUGGUUCUCCUCGAAAUAGCUUUAGGGCUAGCGUUGCAUAAAAGUCUAGUGGAGGUAAAGCACUGAAUUGCCUAGGGGGCCAAUAAGCCUACCGACGCAUAUCAAACUCUAAAUGCCAUAUAGAUGUUUUGCAGCAGUCAGGUGGUGGAUGAUAAGAUCCAUCUCCGAAAGGGAAAGAGCCCAGACCGCCAGUUAAGGUCCCAAAGUUCAUGUUAAGUGGAAAAGGAUGUGAGAUUUCACAGACAACUAGGAUGUUGGCUUAGAAGCAGCCAUACAUUUAAAGAGUGCGUAAUAGCUCACUAGUCGAGAGAUCUUGCGCCGAAAAUGUCCGGGGCUAAAACAUGAUACCGAAACUGUGGACUCCUAAGGGAGUGGUAGAGGAGCGUUCCAUUUUUGCUGAAGCAGUACCGUAAGGAGCUGUGGAGAGUAUGGAAGUGAGAAUGCCGGAAUGAGUAGCGAGAUAGAAGUGAGAAUCUUCUAGGCCGAAUAUCUAAGGUUUCCAGGGUAAAGCUGAUCUGCCCUGGGUAAGUCGGGACCUAAGGCGAGGACGAAAGUCGUAGUCGAUGGACAACUGGUUGAGAUUCCAGUACCGCUUAUAAUCAGAACUGUAGUGACGCAGAAGGAUAGGGAAACCGGGGAAUGGAAAGUCUCCGGGUAAGCACAAAGUCAGACCUAAUAGGCAAAUCCGUUAGGUGUCGGCGAAGUGUUAUACCGACCGAACUAUUAGUAGGGAAGUUCCUAAAUCCAUGCUGCCAAGAAAAACUGCUAUUGUGUUAUAAGUGCCCGUACCGUAAACCGACACAGGUAGAUGAGGAGAGAAUCCUAAGGCCGACGAGAGAAGCGUUGUUAAGGAACUAGGCAAAAUGACCCCGUAACUUAGGGAGAAGGGGUGCUCUACUUAGUAGAGCCGCAGAGAAUAGGCCCAAGCGACUGUUUAGCAAAAACACAGGUCUCUGCAAAGUCGAAAGACGAAGUAUAGGGGCUGACACCUGCCCGGUGCUGGAAGGUUAAGGAGAUAAGUUAGAGAUUAGUCUCGAAGCUUUGAACUGAAGCCCCAGUAAACGGCGGCCGUAACUAUAACGGUCCUAAGGUAGCGAAAUUCCUUGUCAGGUAAGUUCUGACCCGCACGAAAGGUGCAACGAUUUGGGCACUGUCUCGACAACGCGCUCGGUGAAAUUGUAGUACUGGUGAAGAUGCCAGUUACCCGCGAUAGGACGGAAAGACCCCGUGGAGCUUUACUGCAGCUUGAUACUGAACUUCGGUGUUGCAUGUACAGGAUAGGAGGGAGACUAAGAAACCAGAGCGCCAGCUUUGGUGGAGUCAAUGGUGGGAUACCUCCCCUGUAAUACUGGAUUUCUAACCUAGGUCCAUUAUCUGGAUCGGGGACAAUGUCUGGUAGGCAGUUUGACUGGGGCGGUCGCCUCCUAAAGAGUAACGGAGGCGUUCAAAGGUAACCUCAGAAUGGUUGGAAAUCAUUCAAAGAGUAUAAAGGCAGAAGGUUGCUUAACUGCGACACCGACGGGUGGAGCAGAUACGAAAGUAGGACUUAGUGAUCCGGUGGUAUGAAAGUGGGAUUGCCAUCGCUCAACGGAUAAAAGCUACCCCGGGGAUAACAGGCUUAUCUCCCCCAAGAGUUCACAUCGACGGGGAGGUUUGGCACCUCGAUGUCGGCUCAUCGCAUCCUGGAGCUGAAGCAGGUUCCAAGGGUUGGGCUGUUCGCCCAUUAAAGCGGUACGCGAGCUGGGUUCAGAACGUCGUGAGACAGUUCGGUCCCUAUCCAUCGUGGGCGCAGGAAAUUUGAGAAGGUUUGUCCUUAGUACGAGAGGACCGGGAUGAACGGACCACUGGUGCAUCUGUUGGCUUGCCAAGGCCAUAGCAGAGUAGCCAAGUCCGGCAUGGAUAAACGCUGAAGGCAUCUAAGCGUGAAGCCAUCUUCAAGAUAAGAUUUCCCAUUCGAAAGAAGUAAGAUCCCUUAUAGACUAUGAGGUAGAUAGGUUGGAGGUGUAAGUGUAGCAAUACAUUCAGCUGACCAAUACUAAUAGAUCGAGGGUUUGA
rnacentral:rRNA from 1 species